rnacentral:rRNA from 1 species
UCUAGCGAGACUGCCAGUGAUAAACUGGAGGAAGGUGGGGAUGACGUCAAAUCAUCAUGCCCCUUAUGACCUGGGCUACAAACGUGAUACAAUGGCUGAAACAAAGGGCAGCGAAGGAGCGAUCUGGAGCGAAACCCAAAAAAGCAGUCUCAGUUCGGAUUGAAGUCUGCAACUCGACUUCAUGAAGUCGGAAUCGCUAGUAAUCGCGGAUCAGAACGCCGCGGUGAAUACGUUCUCGGGGUUU